rnacentral:tRNA from 1 species
CACCAGUUAGUCUAGUGGUUAAGAUUAUGGAUCGCCAAUCCAGAGACGGCGGGUUCAAUUCCCGUUCCGGUCG